GAUGAACGCUGGCGGCGUGCUUAACACAUGCAAGUCGAACGAUGAAGCUCAGCUUGCUGGGUGGAUUAGUGGCGAACGGGUGAGUAACACGUGAGUAACCUGCCCUUAACUCUGGGACAAGCCUGGGAAACUAGGUCUAAUACCGGAUAGGAGCGCCUACCGCAUGGUGGGUGUUGGAAAGAUUUAUCGGUUUUGGAUGGACUCGCGGCCUAUCAGCUUGUUGGUGAGGUAAUGGCUCACCAAGGCGACGACGGGUAGCCGGCCUGAGAGGGUGACCGGCCACACUGGGACUGAGACACGGCCCAGACUCCUACGGGAGGCAGCAGUGGGGAAUAUUGCACAAUGGGCGAAAGCCUGAUGCAGCGACGCCGCGUGCGGGAUGACGGCCUUCGGGUUGUAAACCUCUUUCAGUAGGGAAGAAGCGAAAGUGACGGUACCUGCAGAAGAAGCACCGGCUAACUACGUG
rnacentral:rRNA from 1 species